rnacentral:tRNA from 3 species
GGUCCUGUAGCUCAGCGGGAGAGCGUCCGCCUCACACGCGGAAGGUCGCUGGUUCGAUCCCAGUCGGGACCAC